rnacentral:rRNA from 1 species
UACGUAGGCAGCAAGCGUUGUUCGGAGUUACUGGGCGUAAAGGGUGUGUAGGCGGCUUCGUAAGUUCGGUGUGAAAUCUCCCGGCUCAACUGGGAGGGUGCGCCGGAAACUGCGGAGCUGGAGCGCAGGAGAGGAAAGCAGAAUUCCUGGUGUAGCGGUGAAAUGCGUAGAUAUCAGGAGGAAUACCGGUGGUGAAGACGGCUUUCUGGACUGCUGCUGACGCUGAUACACGAAAGCGUGGGGAGCAAACAGG